AUGAUCAAGCAUGAUUACAAGUGCAGCUGUGAGUCACUUACCAUUAAUUCCUGUGGGUGUACAUACAGAUGGAGCUGGAGACCCGCCUCCCUUUGGAAACACCAGCUUCAGUCUCUUCUUUCUGUGACACAAGGUCUUGGGCUGAGAGUGAAAGGCUGUUCCUGCUGCCGCUCGUGUCCUCCGCUGUUCAUGGCCACUACACAGGUGACUGCAGCACUGAGAAACUGUGCCAUCAUCUGUACCAGCCUACGGCAGGCACUCAGCGGAAAGGUGUGCUUCAUGAGACACACCCUACUGCAAGUGGCUUCAUAGUCCUGAGCACCUUCAGCUCACUGCUUUACCCUGGAGACUGGCUUUGCCCUGGAUCAGAAUAAUUACAGCAUGUUUCACC
rnacentral:lncRNA from 1 species